GAUGAACGCUAGCUACAGGCUUAACACAUGCAAGUCGAGGGGAAACGAUAUUGGAAGCUUGCUUCCGAUAGGCGUCGACCGGCGCACGGGUGAGUAACGCGUAUCCAACCUGCCCACCACUUGGGGAUAACCUUGCGAAAGUAAGACUAAUACCCGAUGAUAUCCCUAGAAGACAUCUGAAAGGGAUUAAAGAUUUAUCGGUGAUGGAUGGGGAUGCGUCUGAUUAGCUUGUUGGCGGGGUAACGGCCCACCAAGGCGACGAUCAGUAGGGGUUCUGAGAGGAAGGUCCCCCACAUUGGAACUGAGACACGGUCCAAACUCCUACGGGAGGCAGCAGUGAGGAAUAUUGGUCAAUGGGCGAGAGCCUGAACCAGCCAAGUAGCGUGCAGGACGACGGCCCUAUGGGUUGUAAACUGCUUUUAUAAGGGAAUAAAGUGAGUCUCGUGAGACUUUUUGCAUGUACCUUAUGAAUAAGGACCGGCUAAUUCCGUG
rnacentral:rRNA from 1 species